ACGAACGCUGGCGGCGUGCUUAACACAUGCAAGUCGAACGGAAAGGCCCUGCUUGCAGGGUACUCGAGUGGCGAACGGGUGAGUAACACGUGGGUGAUCUGCCCUGCACUUCGGGAUAAGCCUGGGAAACUGGGUCUAAUACCGGAUAGGAGCCAUUUUUAGUGUGAUGGUUGGAAAGUUUUUUCGGUGUAGGAUGAGCUCGCGGCCUAGCAGCUUGUUGGUGGGGUAAUGGCCUACCAAGGCGGCGACGGGUAGCCGGCCUGAGAGGGUGGACGGCCACAUUGGGACUGAGAUACGGCCCAGACUCCUACGGGAGGCAGCAGUGGGGAAUAUUGCACAAUGGGCGCAAGCCUGAUGCAGCGACGCCGCGUGGGGGAUGACGGCCUUCGGGUUGUAAACUCCUUUCGCUAGGGACGAAGCUUUUUGUGACGGUACCUAGAUAAGAAGCACCGGCUAACUACGUG
rnacentral:rRNA from 1 species